rnacentral:rRNA from 1 species
AGGAUAAACGCUGGCGGCGUGCCUAACACAUGCAAGUCGAACGUCUCUUCUUUCGGGAAGAGGAGUGGCGGACGGGUGAGGAACACGUGGGAACCUGCCCUUCAGUGAGGAAUACCGGCGAGAAAUCGCCGACAAGACCGCAUAGCCCUCUCUGGUGAGAGCCAGAGAAGGAAAGCUUCGCAAGAGGCGCUGGAGGAGGGGCCUGCGUCCGAUUAGCUAGUUGGUGGGGUAAGAGCCUACCAAGGCGUCGAUCGGUAGCUGGUCUGAGAGGACGAUCAGCCACACUGGGAUUGAGAACGGCCCAGACUCCUACGGGGGGCAGCAGUGAGGAAUUUUCGGCAAUGGGGGAAACCCUGACCGAGCAACGCCGCGUGCAGGAAGACGGCCUUCAGGUUGUAAACUGCUUUUCUUUGGGACGAGCAAGGACGGUACCAGAGGAAUCAGCCCCGGCCACUACGCGCCAGCAGCCGC